rnacentral:other from 1 species
CGGUUUCUGCGGCACACGUCAGGGGUAAAAUCCCGGCGACCGUAAUCUCUCCUGAGGGAACGAUCCCUGAUUGAAACCGUGGUUUCUUUCAUAUUGUGCCCACCUGUAAACUUGGGUCAUCAGGGCAUUUAACGCCCCAACGGUGUAUGUGGAGCCGCC